CACUAAUAUGAACCGAUAACAACUUAAGUGGUUGACAAUAAUAACUAUGUGUACUCAUAUCUCAUAAAAUCCACUAAAACCACAACCUCAUUUUCCUCAUUCUCCUUUUCAUCACUAAACUUAAGUUCUAAACACAACCUCAUUGAUGUUGAUCCAUCUGCACCUAGUCAUCCUCGCAUCUCCAUAACAGACUCACUAUUUGUUAAAUGAUAUUUGUAAAUAUUAUUUGGUAGAUGCUAGUUAUCCAACACCAUAUGGAUACUUGGGGCCAUAUAAAUGUGAGCGAUAUCAUCUUCCCGAAUUCAAGCGAGUUAUUGGAUUUAAUAGUCAGAAUGAAAUUUUCAACUAUCAUCACUCUAGCUUAAGGAAUACAAUAGAAAGAACAUUCAGUGUUUGGAAGAAUAUAUUUGUAAUUUUGCAUCGCAUGCCAAAUUUAAAUAUUCUACUCAGGUCCAACUAGUUAUUGCUACAUUGACAAUACAUAAUUUUAUUAGACAAAAUAGCAUAUGAGAUCAUGAGUUUAAGAAUGUUGAUGAUCAUGAUGGUGAUAUACCAAAUGUUGAUGAUGAUGCUACCAAUGAUGGUGAUGGUGAUAUCGCUGAACACAUGGAUAAUAUAUCUUCUGAAC